rnacentral:lncRNA from 1 species
UGCGUUCCUUCUUUCUCCAUAUGCAAUUUUUUUUUUGAAAACUUUAGGGACUCAAAAUGAUCCGCUUAUAUCAUCCUCUCUCUUUCAUGCACCCCUUCUUGUUCCAUGCAUGUGUGGUUUUAUUUUUUGGAAAUCUUAAAGGGUCAAAAUCGAUUAGCAUCUUCCUUUCUUUCAUGCAUCCUUUCUUCUCCGUACACUAUCAUGAGUCAUGCUCG